UAACUCUGGACUUGGCCAUGUGACUUUCUUGGGCCAAUGGGACAUGAGCAAGCAUGAUACCAGCAGGGAUUUGAUUCUUCCUCCACCUCAGCUGAAAGGAUUCAUCUUGCAGCACGGCCCACCUUGGAACCCUUUGUGUUUGCUGAAACUUUCUUUGUGAUUAUUCUUAUGUCACUGCAUAGCAUGUAAAUGUAUCACACCCCCCCCCCACCCAUUAUUAUUAUCUCCUAGUAUGCACCAGGCACUGGCCAUAAAUUAUUUCUAAUCAUCAUUAAAACUCUACCACGGUUAUCCUCCCUCUAUGGAUAGGAAAACUAAGGCUUGGAGGUUGAAGAGGUCAUGGAUCUUGUCCAAGGUCACUAAACUCAUAAAUGUCACAGUCAAAAUUUGAAUCUAGAUAGAGUUGUCAGCUCCAAAGAAGUUUGCUCAGUCAGU
rnacentral:lncRNA from 1 species